rnacentral:lncRNA from 1 species
AAGAGAGGAGAAGAAAGAGAAACCAGGGGGGCGAGGCGCCGUCCAAUGACAAAGCCCAGGGGAGAGCUGCCCUGCCAAGCCCGCGGCGCCCGGGCCCUGCUUCGGGGGCCGCACCCUGGAGGAGAUCUGGAGGGCGGCCACCCCGACGCUGACCACCUUUCCCACCAUUCGCGUCGGCGGCGACGUGUGGGGCGAGCGCAGCCUGGCGGCGGCGCGGCGCCGGGCAAGCCAAGUCCUGCGAGUGAACCUGGAACCCGUGGUGAGGCUCCGCCGCUUCCCCGUGCCCCGGGCGUGAAACGCGGCCCGCGACGGCUUCCCGGCCAGGGACGGGGCUUCCGCCUGGAGGGAUGGACAAGUGUCAGUCGAGUGUUUACAGAUCCGGCCAGGACCCCGUCCCCUCGUGCACUUUACGGGCAAAGAAGUCACCGGAUGCUUUUCCCGGCCUCGCGGCGCCGCCGUCUGGGGCUCAGGGACAGGUGUGCCCUCCGCUGCCUCCUGGCGCCCGGGCUGCAGAGGAGGAGACAGCCGGACCCGCAGGGGAGGGCCCUAUGCUUCCUUACCCCGGACUGAGACAUCUCCAGGACUGGAGGGGCAGAUCCGUUUUCUCCCUUUGGACUCUACCUCACUGGUCUGGAAGUUCUCUGAAGAAGUCGUUAUUUUUCCAAAGGAAUUUGGUUUCGUGUUUGUGUAAUAAAGCCAGAAUCUACUUGCUUUCCCCCCAAAUCCUCCCCCCACCCCAUUUUUCUUUGCAACUGCCACCCCUCUUUCUGGACGAAAGAUUGAACCUGUUUUGUACUCAGGGUAUUCUGAAUCCCAUUCGUUUCCUAAUUUUAACCGGAUUCCAAAGCUCUGACCAAGGAUAUUUUUCUAAGAGAUUCAAGCUUAUGACUGUAAUAGUGCAAGGAUUUGUAUGCUUUGAAUUCCAUGGGCUCAGUGAUUACAAACAAAGAGAUGCAAAGUACAACUGUUUGAACAUUUUUGAGGUGUUCCUAAAGAUUUUAUAUUGAAAUUUAAUGUUUAUAUUUACUGAGCUCCUAAAUAAAAUGGUAUAAACUCAUAUGAAGUUCUGUUUAGGAAAAGCUGACUUGUUAAGAUUCUUUUUAAUUAAAUAAAAAUUAAAGUGCAUUGAAACCACAUGGCUUGUGAUAAAGAAAAAUUAGUUACAAAGAACUGGUGUUGGUUAAAGAGAUUGAUGGAAUCCUAUUGGAAAUGAUUUGGCUUCAUUGUACUGGUCUAACAUACAAAUCCAGGAAUAGUUGAAGGAUAACCUAUUUUAAAUUGCAAAUAGCAGAGAAGAAAUAAAUGUGUUCAAACUUUGUGAUUAAAAUGAUAAACAGAAUACCCAUUAGAAUUCUCAGAACUAUUAGUCAUCUAGAGGGGUGGGGGCAUUUCUUGGUAUCAAAUAACUGGUUGAAGUUACUUUGGGCAAAAUAGAUCUCUUUCUUUACUUUCUGUUGUUGGAUAGCAAGAAAUGCCCAGAAUAAUAUCCAUUAUUCUUAUAAACAUUAUGACAAUUAGUUGACUUUUGCUCCGUGAGUUAACUUUUUAAAAAAUCUUAAUUCCAUUUGUAAUUAUGUUUGUAGUUACUGGUCUUUGUUGACAGCUGAAGACCACAGGAAUCAUUGAUCAGGCGAGUCACACAGUACUGACCCUUCUUUUACACUUUUAUAAUAGCAUUUAUACCAUAUGGCCCAGUGUGGAAUUCUUGAUUAUCCAAGUGCCUUUGGUCAUUGGUGGCAGCAAGACUUAAUGGUUUUUAGCCAGUGGUGCCACAGCCAGAUUUUACUGCAAUAUCUAAAGGGUCAAGUAGUGUUUUGUACCACUAUUUUUCAAAUUUAAGUAUUCUGCCAUGGAAUGAUUCAUACUGGCUAGAACUUGACAUACGAUAUCCUUAAUAUUAAGGCUUAUCUCUGCUUGGCAGCUUCUUAGGAGAAUUAUUUUAAUAAGAGUUGCAAUUUUGACUCUUGCGAUCUUAGAAUUCAAAUGCUAUUGCUUUCUGAAUUGAAAAUUUCAACUUUAAUAGUCCAUAAGUAGGAGUUUUGUGACUUUAAUUUCAGUGUACUUGUUUUGUAAAGAAAAAAAAAUUAUAUAUAUAAUAUGACUUUAUGCCAGUUUCCCAGUAUGCCUCGUAUUCUUUUAUUCACUACUCAAUGAAAAUGCAUUGUUACCGACACUGUCACACGAAUAAAUAAAAGUGGAUAAUUACUUAGAUGAUGAAGAGUGUUAAAUUAUAUCUUUGUGAAAGGAAGCUUAUAUAUAUUCUUUUGGUUAUUAGCUUCCAUUGCCAAUCGUAUUUCAGAUACAGUAGAGUUUUCUCCUCCCUCCCCCUGCUACUGAAUUGUUACCAUUUUUUUAGCAAACUAGCCCCUGAGGAAAAAAAUAUGUAUUUGUACCACUCACUAUUGUAUAUAGUUUUAUAAUAAAUUCAAUGGCCAUAUUAGAAUGUGAUUUCAACAUAUAGCUUAUCUAGAUAAUUUCACAGAGGAUUUUGAAAUUAGACCUAGCUGGGAGGAUAACUUUGCUCAGCACAAAACAAACAACUAUUGACACCAUGCAUUUUAACUGAGAUUCUUAACAUUUUUUCCUCAUGCCUUGUUACUUUAGUGCUCUUGAACUAGCAUAAAUGCUUCUUUGGAUUGUCUGGGCUAUCUGAUUUCAGUUUGGGUUGGAUUGCCCAUCUUGAAUUCAAUAUAUUAUUUAUCUGGUUUAUUUAAAAAUCAUGCCAUUUCUAGUUUGUGAAAUGAGAUGUAAAAAAAACUUUUAUUUUUGCCAAGUGUUCUUUAGCCAAACGUAUGUUACAUCUUCUAAAAUGUGAAGAAACAACUAAUAUAGAUGGUUGGUGUGUUAAUAGGAAAGUGAAAGUAUUCAUGGGUACAUUGGGCAGAAUGUGGAAAGGAACUUGGCAAGGUGGCCUUUCUGGUGAGGCAUCCAUUUCCUGUCCUCUAAAGUAAGUCUGUAGCUUAGCUUGUAUAUAGUUUUUUAAAAGACAUCCCAUGAUCUUUAUUCACUCUCUUAUAAGAUUAUCUUCUAUCUCGUAUGGCACAAAUAGGGAAGCUAGGAGGAAGUUUAUCACCUCACUAUGCUUUUAUUUAAUUUUUAACUCUUGAGUGCCUAAAUAUGGUGACUGGCACCUCAGCUAACUUUUUGAGAUUCCUGAUGUCAUUUUUAUCCUCCUUCCUGUCAACCAGCAACUUAUUUUUCCAUGCUGAAAUCAGUAAUGUCAUGAUUGUUGAGGGUAAGCUUUGUUGUUGAUAGUGCAAAGUGUUGCUGUUGUGGUGUGUAUUUAUUUUGUCAAAGUUUGAGUCCCCUGUUGGACACGUGUAACUAAGCUGGUGGCUGACACCUAUUGAUUUGCUACUUGCAAAUGAUACUACUAUUUUUCUGAAAACUCAUUCAGUUAAAAAAACAUCAAAAAUAUUUGAAUACAAAAAAAUGAGGUUUUGAAUUCAAAACUUUGUUGUUUUAAGGGUUGCCACAGCACUCUUUAAAUUGGUGGGUUUUGGUGGACAUAUAUACAUAAUAUUUACUUUAUUGGUGUGUUUGAAAUAUUUUUUGAUAGACUGUUAUGUCUUAAGUGCAUUUGAAGGCAAUUGUUUGUAAUGGAACCGAAUUGUUUCCUUGGACAGUUUGAUGUGCAUAUGAUUAAGAUUUAUAAUCUGGUUGUACUUUGCUUUUUAAUUUAUUAACUGUAAAUAAAUUUUAGAGAA